UAAUACGGGAGGCAGCAGUGGGGAAUAUUGCACAAUGGGCGCAAGCCUGAUGCAGCCAUGCCGCGUGUAUGAAGAAGGCCUUCGGGUUGUAAAGUACUUUCAGCAGUGAGGAAGGUGGGUAUGUUAAUAGCAUACUCAUUUGACGUUAGCUGCAGAAGAAGCACCGGCUAACUCCGUGCCAGCAGCCGCGGUAAUACGGAGGGUGCGAGCGUUAAUCGGAAUUACUGGGCGUAAAGCGCAUGCAGGUGGAUGAUUAAGUCAGAUGUGAAAGCCCGGGGCUCAACCUCGGAAUAGCAUUUGAAACUGGUCAUCUAGAGUACUGUAGAGGGGGGUAGAAUUUCAGGUGUAGCGGUGAAAUGCGUAGAGAUCUGAAGGAAUACCGGUGGCGAAGGCGGCCCCCUGGACAGAUACUGACACUCAGAUGCGAAAGCGUGGGGAGCAAACAGGAUUAGAUACCCUGGUAGUCCACGCCGUAAACGAUGUCUACUUGGAGGUUGUGGCCUUGAGCCGUGGCUUUCGGAGCUAACGCGUUAAGUAG
rnacentral:rRNA from 1 species